rnacentral:rRNA from 1 species
GGUUAAGUGAAUAAGGGCGCACGGUGGAUGCCUUGGCACUAGGAGCCGAUGAAGGACGGGACUAACACCGAUAUGCUUUGGGGAGCUGUAAGUAAGCUAUGAUCCAGAGAUUUCCGAAUGGGGGAACCCAGCAUCUUUUAUAGGAUGUUACACAGUUGUGAAUACAUAGCAGCUGUGAGGUAGACGCAGAGAACUGAAACAUCUAAGUACCUGCAGGAAGAGAAAGAAAAUUCGAUUCCCUGAGUAGCGGCGAGCGAAACGGGAAAAGCCCAAACCAACAAGCUUGCUUGUUGGGGUUGUAGGACUCCGAUAUGGUAGUUGAAACAGAUAGUCGAAAUACUUGGAAAAGUAUGUCAAAGAGGGUAAAAACCCCGUAGAUGAAAUCUGGCUCACACCUAGGAGGAUCCUGAGUACGGCGGAACACGAGGAAUUCCGUCGGAAUCCGGGAGGACCAUCUCCCAAGGCUAAAUACUCCCUAGUGACCGAUAGUGAACCAGUACCGUGAGGGAAAGGUGAAAAGCACCCCGGAAGGGGAGUGAAAGAGAUCCUGAAACCGUGUGCCUACAACAAGUUAGAGCCCGUUAAUGGGUGAUAGCGUGCCUUUUGUAGAAUGAACCGGCGAGUUACGAUAGCAUGCGAGGUUAAGUUGAAGAGACGGAGCCGCAGCGAAAGCGAGUCUGAAUAGGGCGAAUGAGUAUGUUGUCGUAGACCCGAAACCAUGUGAUCUACCCAUGUCCAGGUUGAAGGUGCGGUAAAACGCACUGGAGGACCGAACCCACGUACGUUGAAAAGUGCGGGGAUGAGGUGUGGGUAGCGGAGAAAUUCCAAACGAACUUGGAGAUAGCUGGUUCUCUCCGAAAUAGCUUUAGGGCUAGCCUCGGAAUUGAGAAUGAUGGAGGUAGAGCACUGUUUGGACUAGGGGCCCAUCUCGGGUUACCGAAUUCAGAUAAACUCCGAAUGCCAUUCAUUCAUAUCCGGGAGUCAGACUGUGAGUGAUAAGAUCCAUAGUCGAAAGGGAAACAGCCCAGACCACCAGCUAAGGUCCCCAAAUAACUAUUAAGUGGAAAAGGAUGUGGGGUUGCACAGACAACUAGGAUGUUGGCUUAGAAGCAGCCACCAUUUAAAGAGUGCGUAAUAGCUCACUAGUCGAGUGACCCUGCGCCGAAAAUGUACCGGGGCUAAAUAGUUUACCGAAGCUGUGGAGUGCACCGUAAGGUGCAUUGGUAGGAGAGCGUUCUAAGGGCGUUGAAGGUAGAUCGUGAGGACUACUGGAGCGCUUAGAAGUGAGAAUGCCGGUAUGAGUAGCGAAAGACAGGUGAGAAUCCUGUCCACCGUAUGACUAAGGUUUCCUGGGGGAAGGCUCGUCCGCCCAGGGUUAGUCGGGACCUAAGCCGAGGCCGACAGGCGUAGGCGAUGGACAACAGGUUGAUAUUCCUGUACCCGUUGUUUUUGUUUGAGCAAUGGAGGGACGCAGGAGGCUAAGAAGUGCAGACUGAUGGAUAUGUCUGUUCAAGCAGUGAGUCUUAGUGGGAGUCAAAUGCUUCUACUUUCAAGGACAAGCUGUGAUGAGGAGGGAAAUAAUAGUACCGAAGCUUCUGAUGUCACACUGCCAAGAAAAGCUUCUAGUGAGAAAACAAUGGCCCGUACCGCAAACCGACACAGGUAGUCGAGGAGAGCAUCCUAAGGUGAGCGAGAGAACUCUCGUUAAGGAACUCGGCAAAAUGACCCCGUAACUUCGGGAGAAGGGGUGCUGCUCUAACGAGCAGCCGCAGUGAAUAGGCCCAAGCGACUGUUUAUCAAAAACACAGGUCUCUGCAAAAUCGAAAGAUGACGUAUAGGGGCUGACGCCUGCCCGGUGCUGGAAGGUUAAGAGGAGUGCUUAGCGUAAGCGAAGGUACGAAUUGAAGCCCCAGUAAACGGCGGCCGUAACUAUAACGGUCCUAAGGUAGCGAAAUUCCUUGUCGGGUAAGUUCCGACCCGCACGAAAGGCGUAACGAUUUGGGCACUGUCUCAACGAGAGACUCGGUGAAAUUUUAGUACCUGUGAAGAUGCAGGUUACCCGCGACAGGACGGAAAGACCCCAUGGAGCUUUACUGUAGUUUGAUAUUGAGUGUCUGUACCGCAUGUACAGGAUAGGUAGGAGCCGUAGAGAUCGGGACGCCAGUUUCGAUGGAGGCAAUGGUGGGAUACUACCCUUGCGUUAUGGCCACUCUAACCCGCAGCCCUUAUCGGGCUGGGAGACAGUGUCAGAUGGGCAGUUUGACUGGGGCGGUCGCCUCCUAAAAGGUAACGGAGGCGCCCAAAGGUUCCCUCAGAAUGGUUGGAAAUCAUUCGAAGAGUGUAAAGGCAGAAGGGAGCUUGACUGCGAGAGCUACAACUCGAGCAGGGACGAAAGUCGGGCUUAGUGAUCCGGUGGUUCCGCAUGGAAGGGCCAUCGCUCAACGGAUAAAAGCUACCCUGGGGAUAACAGGCUUAUCUCCCCCAAGAGUCCACAUCGACGGGGAGGUUUGGCACCUCGAUGUCGGCUCGUCGCAUCCUGGGGCUGUAGUCGGUCCCAAGGGUUGGGCUGUUCGCCCAUUAAAGCGGCACGCGAGCUGGGUUCAGAACGUCGUGAGACAGUUCGGUCCCUAUCCGUCGCGGGCGUUGGAAAUUUGAGAGGAGCUGUCCUUAGUACGAGAGGACCGGGAUGGACUUACCGCUGGUGUACCAGUUGUCUCGCCAGAGGCAUCGCUGGGUAGCUAUGUAGGGAAGGGAUAAACGCUGAAAGCAUCUAAGUGUGAAGCCCACCUCAAGAUGAGAUUUCCCAUUUCUUUAAGAAAGUAAGAUCCCUGAGAGAUGAUCAGGUAGAUAGGUCAGAAGUGGAAGGCCAGUGAUGGUUGGAGCGGACUGAUACUAAUCGAUCGAGGACUUAACCAC